rnacentral:rRNA from 1 species
UGGGGAAUUUUGGACAAUGGGGGAAACCCUGAUCCAGCCAUCCCGCGUGUGCGAUGAAGGCCUUCGGGUUGUAAAGCACUUUUGGCAGGAAAGAAACGUCAUGGGUUAAUACCCCGUGAAACUGACGGGACCUGCAGAAUAAGCACCGGCUAACUACGUGCCAGCAGCCGCGGUAAUACGUAGGGUGCAAGCGUUAAUCGGAAUUACUGGGCGUAAAGCGUGCGCAGGCGGUUCGGAAAGAAAGAUGUGAAAUCCCAGAGCUCAACUUUGGAACUGCAUUUUUAACUACCGGUCUAGAGUGUGUCUGAGGGAGGUGGAAUUCCGCGUGUAGCAUUGAAAUGCCUAGAUAUGCGGAGGAACACCGAUGGCGAAGGCAGCCUCCUGGGAUAACACUGACGCUCAUGCACGAAAGCGUGGGGAGCAAACAGG